GAUUGAAAUGGCCAAAAGCUUUGUUAAAUAGAAACCGUGUCACGAAAUUACUUUGUUAAAUCACGAAAGAAAAUUAGAUGGUUUUCAAUGGAACUAAUGGAUAAGGAAAUGAAAAUAGAUCAUUACAUCGCAAAUUUCAUUAAAUCAAGGUUCGUUAUAUCGGGGUUUGACUGUACAGCUGUCAUCUAAACAAAG
rnacentral:lncRNA from 1 species